GGGAAGCUGCUGAAUGACAUCCUGGGCUGUGUGGAGAAGUUCAGCUACAAGAACCCAGAGGAGGCCGAGGAGCAGCACUUCAGCGACCAUCAGCUUUGAAAGUUGGCGAUCGGGAGCCAACCAUUGAGCGAUCCUGGGUCGAGUUGAGAAGAUUUCGCUCCAUACUCAAAUGUCCUGGAGGACCACUGUCUUGGCAAACUACGUUGGAGGUUGGUGCACCCUGUAAAAGAAAAAGGUAAAUCGUGACGUCACACGCCAGUUUUGACACGGAAGUUUCACCAACAUGCACUGAGCAGCAAUCUUGUCAGUGCAGCAAAUAACUAAAUUGGUCCGCACACGUCAUUCAAUGAGAAUAUUACACAUCCAGUUUGCACCCUUCGCUAGGAGAAGAGAGGAAAACAGCAACUAUUGGUCAUCGACUUCAGGAAGAGAAUGACCCCGGUGGAGCCCAUCAAGAUCCAGGGUACGGGAGGUGGCAGUAGUGGAGCAGUACAAGUACCUGGGAGUCCACUUGAACAGCAGACUGGACUGGAAGGACAACUGCAAAGCUGUUUACAAGAAGGGCAUGAGCAGACUCUUUUUCCUGAGGAAGCUUAGGUCCUUAAAUGUGUGCAGCAAGCUGUUGGAAAUAUUUUAUCAGUCUGUAGUGGCCAGUGCCCUGUACUUUGCAGUGGUUUGUUGGGGGAGCAGCACCAGCAAAAGGGACUCAAACCGGAUUGAUAAACUGAUCCGGAAAGCUGGCCAAACUAUUGGCACGCAGUUGGAGGCGUUUGUGUCAGUGAGGGACAGGAGGACACUGGACAAACUGCUGGCCAUCAUGGACAAUCCUGCCCAACCACUCCACCUGACAAUUGAGGGACAGCGGAGCUCAUACUCCAACAGGCUCCUUCAGCUUCCUUCCCGCACUGUGCGAUUCAAGAACUCCUUCAUUCCGCACUCCAUCCAGCUGUAUAAUCACUCGCCAUACAGCAAUAGAUGAUAUCUGUCUAUUACUUGACACCUGACAUGUUAGCUAUUUCUCUUUUUUUUUAAUGUCUAUUUUCUGCUGGAUUUACUCUCUACUUUAUGCUGCAGCUGUCACAUAUACUGUAUAUUGUCGUCAUGUGCGUACAUGGUAAUUGUUAUAUUUUGUAUAUAUGAUAUAGACAUAAUAUAAUAUAUCAGUAUAUAUAAUAUACUGUACAUAUAUUAUGUAAAUAUUACGUAUAUAUGUUAUAUUUUAUAUCGCUAUAUUUAGUCUAUUUAUACCUGCAUUGUCCUUUCCAUCCUUACACUUUCCAUCAUUGUAACUGAGCUACUGUGUGGAACAAUAUCCCUUGUGGAUCAUUAAAGUUUGUCUAAGUCUAAGUCUAUUCUACAUUUUUGGGAUUUCAAUAAUAAUAAUUGACACUAAUGUGACACUUUUUGGAUUCAAACACUUCAAGCCACAAAACACCCAACAUGAAAUAAGGACAUUCAUUUCACAGACAUAUUUGUCAAAUGUUAUUUUGUCGGUGUGUGUUUGUGUUGAACACUGGGUGUGUCUUUUGGUGCUAUUCUAGGUUUUAGGGUCAGUUAAUGUACUUUCAAAAUGUGAUGAAGGCCUGUUGGCUGAAACAGGUUGGGGCUAAUUUAAAGGUCCAUUAAAGACAUUUUAACUGAUGAAAAAAGUGCCUUGUUUUUUUUUUAUUAAAGCAGUUUUGUUGAACAAAACGUGUGUGCAGGGAUGCACCCUGACCACCAUCAACAGUCGCCAUCUUGGCAACAUGGCGGAAAGGGAGGCACUAACUCAAGUGGGUGCAAUUCACAUUUAAAAAGCAUUUAUACUGUUGGGGUGUCCCAAUACAACUUUUUUACUACUGAUACGAUACCAAUAUUGGAUUACCUUAUUAAUAUAUUCAUCUGAUACGAUAACAGUAGGAAUCAUAUUGUGCAGAGUUGUAAUAUUUUGUAAACAAUUGUACACAAUGUUUGAUCAAACGAAAU